UAGAGGUGACCAGCUGCUCUGCACCAAGGCCCUUGCAGUGAUGUAUCGUAGUCUGUUGCUGUAAACAUC
ensembl:miRNA